rnacentral:rRNA from 1 species
GAUGAACGCUGGCGGUAUGCUUAACACAUGCAAGUCGAACGGACUCUUCGGAGUUAGUGGCGGACGGGUGAGUAACGCGUGAGAAUCUGGCUUUGGGUUCGGGACAACCACUGGAAACGGUGGCUAAUACCGGAUGUGCCGAGAGGUAAAAGAGAAAUUGCCUGAAGAUGAGCUCGCGUCUGAUUAGCUAGUUGGUGAGGUAAAGGCUCACCAAGGCAGCGAUCAGUAGCUGGUCUGAGAGGAUGACCAGCCACACUGGGACUGAGACACGGCCCAGACUCCUACGGGAGGCAGCAGUGGGGAAUUUUCCGCAAUGGGCGAAAGCCUGACGGAGCAAUACCGCGUGAGGGAAGAAGGCUCUUGGGUUGUAAACCUCUUUUCUUAGGGAAGAACAAAAUGACGGUACCUAAGGAACCAGCAUCGGCUAACUCCGUG